GCUUGUGGAUUGUGACCAUGAGUGUGACCCGGUGGAAAAAAAUGAUUGUGAUGCAGGUUGCAACGGUGGUCUUAUGACUACUGCCUUUGAGUAUACCCUUAAGGCUGGAGGUCUCCAACUGGAGAAAGACUAUCCUUACACUGGCAGGAAUGGCAAAUGCCACUUUGACAAGAGCAGAAUUGCUGCCUCUGUAUCCAACUUCAGUGUUGUUGGUCUUGAUGAAGACCAAAUUGCUGCUAACCUGCUGAAACAUGGUCCUCUUGCAGUGGGGAUCAAUGCUGCUUGGAUGCAGACAUAUGUUAGAGGAGUUUCAUGCCCAUUAAUUUGCUUCAAGCGUCAGGAUCAUGGUGUCCUCCUAGUCGGUUAUGGAUCUGAAGGUUUUGCACCUAUCCGUCUCAAGAAUAAGCCUUACUGGAUCAUCAAGAAUUCUUGGGGAAAGACUUGGGGAGAACACGGAUAUUACAAGAUCUGCAGGGGUCACAAUAUCUGCGGAGUUGAUGCCAUGGUCUCUACUGUGACUGCCACACAUACUACUAAUCCUAAUCUUUAAGAUGAAAUAUAUCCCAAGAAUGUUGUCUGUAAUCAACGAUUUUACUGCCAUUACCCUAAUCUUUGUAAAUAUAUUGGUCAGUAAUGUAUUGUGAACUCAUGUCUUGGAUUUCAUCAGCACCUUAUUAUCGUGCCUCAAACCAUGUACUGGGAUUUGUAUCUGUAGUUUUAUACUGCAAAUAAUUGGAGUUUGAAUUUUUAAGUUAUUUGCAAUAUUUGAAUGCUCG
rnacentral:misc_RNA from 1 species